UUGUGCAUCCCUUUUCACCUAUUCGGUUCAAACCUUGGACACACUCCAAAGCCAUCGCCUCCAUUCAUAACAGCGAGACAAAAUCGUCGGACUAAUCUCCACCUCUGAUCGGCUUAAAACAAGUGAAGAAGGUACCUUAGAAGCAUUACCCAAAAAUGCCUGCCGAGAUUUAAAGGAAGUGAGCCCCGUUGUUCACCUCCCUCGCAGCGAAAGCACCACCACAAUUCUCCACCUUCGUCCAACGCCAAACCACCAUUGAAGAACACAACUCUGUCAAGUUUAUAAAGGUAAUUGGGGAGUUAAUUAUGAUAUAAAAAAUCAGACCUAGAUGUAUAUAACAUAAUUAUUGAUGUGCCAUUGAAAUCUGUGUGAAUGGUAAUUUAUUUUGGAGGUCGAGUUGAUGAAUAAGCGACCUUUUAGUCAAGGAUUUGCUUGUUUGAGAUUCAAGCAGUAAGCCUGAAAAAGUGGUGGAGUUGGUGAGAUUAAUAGAAGAAUAUAUGCAUCUUAUUGCUCCGUUCGUUACUGCAUCAACGUGUUUAAGAGGAACUGUGGUAAUGGUUCUAAUUCUCUAGGAGGAUAUGCUUAAUGCCUGUUGUAGAUGUUGUGAUUUUAAGUUUUGAAAACUUUAGCAUUGAACAUGAAUUAUUCUCGAUCUUCUUAGUUCGUGUAGUAUUGACCUUUGUUUUAUGUGGUUGUUUGCAUCUUAGAUUAAGAGGCAUGAAUGUUUUAUGUGGUCGUACCAGGAGAAUCAAGUGGUGAAUCCUAGUACCAAGGGGGACGUUGAAGAUUUAUCAAUCAUGUUUGAAACGCUAACUCGAAUAAGUGAGAAAGGAGACGUCGAGAUUUUAUUAAAUGUGACAUUCUGCAAGGGAAAAUGGAGGGAGGAAGGGAAUUUGAAAGGACGGGGGCUGGCUUGAUUAGUUGUGAGGAGGGGAAUUCUGAUAUUAUUGUAAUUUUUAUUUGAUAUUGAAAAGUAGGUGUAAACUUUGUUCAUUUUAUUAUGUUUGGAAUCAGUAUAUAUCUCAUUCUUGCCCUGGAGUUGAGCUUUAUAUUUUAUGUUG
rnacentral:lncRNA from 1 species